rnacentral:rRNA from 1 species
AGAGUUGAGUCCUGGCUCAGGACGAACGCUGGCGGCGUGCUUAACACAUGCAAGUCGAACGAUGAAGCCCAGCUUGCUGGGUGGAAGAGUGGCGAACGGGUGAGUAACACGUGAGCAACCUGCCCUUCACUCUGGGAUAAGCACUGGAAACGGUGUCUAAUACUGGAUAUGCACAAUGGCCGCAUGGUCUGUUGUGGGAAAGAUUUAUCGGUGAAGGAUGGGCUCGCGGCCUAUCAGCUUGUUGGUGAGGUAGUGGCUCACCAAGGCGACGACGGGUAGCCGGCCUGAGAGGGUGACCGGCCACACUGGGACUGAGACACGGCCCAGACUCCUACGGGAGGCAGCAGUGGGGAAUAUUGCACAAUGGGCGCAAGCCUGAUGCAGCAACGCCGCGUGAGGGAUGACGGCCUUCGGGUUGUAAACCUCUUUUAGUAGGGAAGAAGCGAAAGUGACGGUACCUGCAGAAAAAGCACCGGCUAACUACGUG